GUAUAUUUAUAGGCAAAAGGAUACAUAUAUAACGCAACUUGUGCACUUGCCUUCAAAUUACAUUCAAGCAUAUUAAAAUCUGAAUUUGGAGUCAUCAAAGAUUUUGCUGCUUGGAGUCCACUCUGCUUUGCAUCAUGACUAUAUUUGCAAGUAUUGCUAAAGUAAUUUCAAGCGAGGGUUCCAUAUUUGCUGGAAACUGACAAGGCUACAGUGGAAAUGGAGUGCAUGGAAGAAGGAUAUCUUGCCAAGAUAAUACAUGGAGAUGGGUCCAAAGAGAUAAAAGUUGGUGAG